rfam:Amborella trichopoda AMTR_V1.0_contig_285, whole genome shotgun sequence.
GGUAAGGUUUUUUUAAAAACCCUCUAAUUGAUUAAAAAACAAUGAAU